rnacentral:rRNA from 1 species
UACGAAGGGUGCUAGCGUUGUUCGGAAUUACUGGGCGUAAAGCGCGCGUAGGCGGCUUAGCAAGUCAGGGGUGAAAUCCUUGGGCUCAACCCAAGAAUUGCCCUUGAAACUGCUAAGCUUGAGUGUCGGAGGGGAUAGCGGAAUUGCUAAUGUAGAGGUGAAAUUCGUAGAUAUUAGCAGGAACACCGGUGGCGAAGGCGGCUAUCUGGACGACAACCGACGCUGAGGCGCGAAAGCGUGGGGAUCAAACAGG